rnacentral:rRNA from 1 species
UACGAAGGGGGCUAGCGUUGCUCGGAAUCACUGGGCGUAAAGCGCACGUAGGCGGAUUGCUAAGUCAGGGGUGAAAUCCUGGAGCUCAACUCCAGAACUGCCUUUGAUACUGGCGACCUUUGAGUCCGGGAGAGGUGAGUGGAACUGCGAGUGUAGAGGUGAAAUUCGUAGAUAUUCGCAAGAACACCAGUGGCGAAGGCGGCUCACUGGCCCGAUACUGACGCUGAGGCACGAAAGCGUGGGGAGCAAACAGG